UGCCUAAUACAUGCAGUCGAGCGAACUGAUUAGAAGCUUGCUUCUGUGACGUUAGCGGCGGACGGGUGAGUAACACGUGGGCAACCUGCCUGUAAGACUGGGAUAACUUCGGGAAACCGAAGCUAAUACCGGAUAGGAUCUUCUCCUUCAUGGGUAGAUGAUUGAAAGAUGGUUUCGGCUAUCACUUACAGAUGGGCCCGCGGUGCAUUAGCUAGUUGGUGAGGUAACGGCUCACCAAGGCAACGAUGCAUAGCCGACCUGAGAGGGUGAUCGGCCACACUGGGACUGAGACACGGCCCAGACUCCUACGGGAGGCAGCAGUAGGGAAUCUUCCGCAAUGGACGAAAGUCUGACGGAGCAACGCCGCGUGAGUGAUGAAGGCUUUCGGGUCGUAAAACUCUGUUGUUAGGGAAGAACAAGUACGAGAGUAACUGCUCGUACCUUGACGGUACCUAACCAGAAAGCCACGGCUAAC
rnacentral:rRNA from 1 species